rnacentral:rRNA from 1 species
CCUACGGGAGGCAGCAGUGAGGAAUAUUGGUCAAUGGGCGGAAGCCUGAACCAGCCAAGUAGCGUGCAGGAUGACGGCCCUACGGGUUGUAAACUGCUUUUAUACGGGAAUAACGCGCCUUCCGUGUAGGGCUUUGGAUGUACCGUAUGAAUAAGGUCCGGCUAAUUCCGUGCAAGCAGCCGCGGGAAUACGGGAGGUCCGGGCGUUAUCCGGAUUUAUUGGGUUUAAAGGGAGCGUAGGCCGCAUGUCAAGCGUGCUGUGAAAGGUCCGGGCUCAACCCGGGCCUUGCAGCGCGAAAUGGCGUGCUUGAGUCCGCGGAAAGCAGGCGGAAUGCGUCGUGUAGCGGUGAAAUGCUUAGAUAUGACGAAGAACCCCGAUUGCGAAGGCAGCUUGCUGCAGCGGAACUGACGCUGAUGCUCGAAAGCGCGGGUAUCGAACAGGAUUAGAUACCCUAGUAGUC